rnacentral:tRNA from 1 species
GCCCGGUUAGCUCAGUUGGUAGAGCGCAUCCAUGGUAAGGAUGAGGUCGACGGUUCGAGCCCGUCACCGGGCU